rnacentral:sRNA from 1 species
GCUGGGUGCAGUGGAGAACACCUGUAAUCCCAGUGUCUCAGGAGGCUGAGGCAGGAGGAUUGGGAGUUCGAAGCCAGCCUCAGCAACGGCAAGGUGCUAAGCAACUCAGUGAGACCCUGUCUUUA